CUGAAUGUGGGGAUAAUUUAUCUCCGUGUUGUAGCUAACGCGUUAAGCACUCCGCCUGGGGACUACGGUCGCAAGACUAAAACUCAAAGGAAUUGACGGGGACCCGCACAAGCGGUGGAGCAUGUGGUUUAAUUCGAUGCAACGCGAAAAACCUUACCACUCCUUGACAUGGAGAUUAGAUCCUUCUUAACAGAAGGGCGCAGUUCGGCUGGAUCUCGCACAGGUGCUGCAUGGCUGUCGUCAGCUCGUGUCGUGAGAUGUUGGGUUAAGUCCCGCAACGAGCGUAACCCUCAUCCUUAGUUGCCAGCGGGUAAGCCGGGCACUUUAAGGAAACUGCCGGUGGUAAACCGGAGGAAGGUGGGGAUGAUGUCAAGUCAGCACGGCCCUUAUGGGGUGGGCUACACACGUGCUACAAUGGUGACUACAAUAGGUUGCAAUGUCGCAAGGCUGAGCUAAUCCGUAAAAGUCAUCUCAGUUCGGAUUGUCCUCUGCAACUCGAGGGCAUGAAGUCGGAAUCGCUAGUAAUCGUGGAUCAGCAUGCCACGGUGAAUACGUUCUCGGGUCUUGUACACACUGCCCGUCACGCCAUGGGAAUUGGCUUAACUCGAAGCUGGUGCGCUAACCGAAAGGAAGCAGCCAU
rnacentral:rRNA from 1 species